rnacentral:misc_RNA from 1 species
AACCGAUCAACACCUGUGGGGGUUGGCACUGGCGUUCCGUGCAGCAAUGUGCGGUCUGCUUGAAUGAAUUCAGGUUGAUGGGCUCCAGCUAGCUAAGCUCCAAAUGUGCUAAGAGACUGUGGUCUUUCGUCAUUUGGGUGUGCAGUUGCAUGCAAAGCUCUACUCAACAACCUCUAAAAAAUCAAUCAAUAUCAA